AGUGAACGCUGGCGGCGUGCCUAAUACAUGCAAGUCGAACGGAGUGGCGCACGGGUGAGUAAUGUAUAGCUAAUCUGCUCUACACUAGAGGACAACAGUUGGAAACGACCGCUAAUACUCUAUAGUGUAGGAUGAGGCUAUAUUGUAUCAGCUAGUUGGUGAGGUAAUGGAUCACCAAGGCUAUGACGCAUAACUGGUCUGAGAGGAUGAUCAGUUACACUGGAACUGAGACACCGUCCAGGCUCCUUCGGGAGGUAACAGUAGGGAAUAUUGCUCAAUGGGGGAAACCCUGAAGCGGCAACGCCGCGUGGAGGAUGACACUUUUAGGAGCGUAAACACCUUUUGUUAGGGAGGCUGUACCUAACGAAUAAGCACCGGCUAACUCCGUGCCAGCCGCCGCGGUAAUUC
rnacentral:rRNA from 1 species